GACGAACGCUGGCGGCGUGCCUAAUACAUGCAAGUCGAGCGCGGUGGUCUUCGGACUAUCGAGCGGCGGACGGGUGAGUAACACGUGGGCAACCUGCCUGAUGCAUCGGGAUAACGCUUGGAAACGAGUGCUAAUACCGAAUAGUCGCUUCUGCCGCCUGGCAGAAACGGGAAAGACGCGUUCGCGUCGGCAACAGAUGGGCCCGCGGCGCAUUAGCUAGUUGGUGGGGUAACGGCUCACCAAGGCCACGAUGCGUAGCCGACCUGAGAGGGUGACC
rnacentral:rRNA from 1 species